rnacentral:rRNA from 1 species
GCUGGCGGCGUGCCUAACACAUGCAAGUCGAGCGGGAACCCAGGGAGGGGUAACCCUCCUUGGGGGAGAGCGGCGAACGGGUGAGUACCACGUGGGCAACCUGCCCCAGACACUGGGAUAACCCCGGGAAACCGGGGCUAAUACCGGAUACUCCGAGCGGACCGCAUGAUCCGGUCGGGAAAGCUCCGACGGUCUGGGAUGGGCCCGCGGCCUAUCAGCUUGUUGGUGGGGUAACGGCCCACCAAGGCGACGACGGGUAGCUGGUCUGAGAGGACGGCCAGCCACACUGGGACUGAGACACGGCCCAGACUCCUACGGGAGGCAGCAGUGGGGAAUCUUGCGCUAAUGCGCGAAAGCGUGACGCAGCGACGCCGCGUGGGGGAUGAAGGCCCUCGGGUUGUAAACCCCUUUCGCCAGGGACGAAGCGAAAGUGACGGUACCUGGAGAAGAAGUCCGGGCUAACUACGUGCCAGCAGCCGCGGUAACACGUAGGGGACGAGCGUUGUCCGGAUUCAUUGGGCGUAAAGCGCGCGUAGGCGGUCGUGCAAGUCGGUUGUGAAAUCCCGGGGCUCAACCCCGGGACUGCGUCCGAUACUGUGCGACUGGAGGCAGGUAGGGGAGAUCGGAAUUCCUGGUGUAGCGGUGAAAUGCGCAGAUAUUAGGAGGAACACCGGUGGCGAAGGCGGUUCUCUGGGCAUUACCUGACGCUGAGGAGCGAAAGUGUGGGGAGCGAACAGGAUUAGAUACCCUGGUAGUCCACACCGUAAACGUUGGGCGCUAGGUGUGGGGUCCAUUCCACGGAUUCCGUGCCGCAGCUAACGCAUUAAGCGCCCCGCCUGGGGAGUACGGCCGCAAGGCUAAAACUCAAAGGAAUUGACGG